CAUUAGAUCUUUUUAUAGAAGCCAUAGAAGAAGUUUCUUUGGACAAUCGAGAAAGGGAAACUAUCCUCUUCUCAUGCAGUCACACCUGUCACCCCUACUACACUCAUUGCUCCUAGAAUUGAAUCAAAGGGUAUGUCUGCUCCUGUGAUCUCAAUAGAGCCUGGGAGGAGAUUGAAGCAGCAGCAAAUGGACAUAUUUUUGAUAUAGAUACCGGGUGUGUCAGAUCCAGAGAAAGUUGGUGAUGGCAUAAAUGCUUAUAUGGCAUAUAGAGUAACAACAAAGACUUCUCUUUCCAUGUUAGUAAGAGUGAAUUUUCAAUUAAAAGAAGAGUCAGUGACUUUCUUGGUUUGCAUAGCAAAUUAGUAAGAAAGUAUUUACAUGUUGUUUACAUUGUGCCACCUACUCUGGAGAAGAACAUAGUAGGUAUGAUCAAGGUUAAAGUAUAUGAUGAAGAUUCAUCAUCCACAGAGUCUGCAGAAAAAUGGAGAGCAGCUCUAGAAUGGUAUCUUCAAAGUAAAACAUCGAACUUUACUACAGGAUCCUGAUUUAAGGUACUUCUUGGAAAGUUUAGAGCUGUCCAGAGCAGUUAAUACAUAGGCUCUAAGUGAAGCAGGAAUAUUGAGGAUGAUGAACUAGGCUGCCAACGCUGUCAACAAAAUGACAAUCAGGAUGAAUGAAUUGGAUGCAUGGUUUGAAGAAAAGCAGUGGCAAUUAGAGAAUCAAGACCAGCAACUUAGGAAACUUCAUGCCAGUGUUGAAGCCUUAGUUUGUCAGAGAAAAUAACUUUCAGCCAACACAGCUGCCAUUGCUAAAAGUGCUGCCAUGUUAGGUAAUUUUGAAGAUCAUAUUGCUUUAUCUAGAGCUUUGUCUCAGCUUGCAAAGGUUGAGGAAAAGAACAAGCUUUUGCUGACUUUUAUGUUUUCAGAACUACUUAGUGACUAUUUCGUCUUGUUGCUGCAGUGAAAGUCAUGUUUGACCAUCAAAUUGCAGUGCUGGCAAAAAUGGUAAGAUGCUCAGAUUACUUUGCUGAAAAAAAUGUGAAACUGAGGCAAAAAUGAUGGUUGCUAACAAAGCAGAUAAAACACAGCAAGCUAAAAAUGAAAUAUGAGAGUAGGAGGCAAAAGUACAAGGGGAAAGAGAUUUUGAACAGAUCUCUAAAACAGAUUUGAGAAAGAAUGAGAGAGGGAUUUUAAAACUGUUAUCAAGUACUUAGAAUCCUUAGUACAAACACAGCAGCAACAGCUGAUAAAAUACUGGGAAGCAUUACUGAGGAUGAAGAGAAAC
rnacentral:lncRNA from 1 species